rnacentral:misc_RNA from 1 species
CUGCUGAGCCGCUUGGACGACCAUUUUUGUCAUAAUGAAUUGCAAAUCUUUUCAGGUCUCCAAUCUCAGAGAACAACUCCCUUAUAUCUUCUUUGGUCACCCCAUAAUCCAAGUUGGAAACAUACAACUUUGUGCCAAUUUCAAUUCCAGAAAUCCCUGAAGCUCUAAGACUAUCUUCAAAUAAAUCAUGCUGCCAUUGAACAUUCUUCAUUCUGCGUGGGGGCUUGCGAAUUGAGUUAGCAGAUGCCCGUGCGUUUAUGCCGAGAGGACCUCUACGAACUGAUCCUAUCACUACUCCUCUUCCACCAUUAAAAGACCCA